CAGCAGCCGCGGGAAUACGAAGGGGGCUAGCGUUGUUCGGAAUUACUGGGCGUAAAGCGCACGUAGGCGGAUAUUUAAGUCAGGGGUGAAAUCCCAGAGCUCAACUCUGGAACUGCCUUUGAUGCUGGGUAUCUUGAGUAUGGAAGAGGUGAGUGGAAUUCCGAGUGUAGAGGUGAAAUUCGUAGAUAUUCGGGGGAACACCAGUGGCGGAGGCGGCUCACUGGUCCAUUACUGACGCUGAGGUGCGAAAGCGUGGGGAGCAAACAGGAUUAGAUACCCCCGUAGUCCCUGUCUCUUAUAA
rnacentral:rRNA from 1 species